rnacentral:lncRNA from 10 species
CGGGUUUAUCUGUUCGAUUUUGGUUUUGAGUUUUUAAAAAAGUUGACCACUUUUUUUAACAAUUUUAUUUAAUAUAUGACCUUUACAUUGUUCAAGAGGAUAAAACAAGUUAUAUGCAGAAAAGUUUCACUUUUAUCACUGCCUCUCCUCCACCUAUUUCUUCCUUUCUUCUAUAUAUAACAUUAAAAACUUUUUCUUGGUUUAUACUACCAUUGUUUUUUUAACAUAAUAAUAAAUACAUUUACAGCUCCCCUCCGUUUACUGAAUACUACAUAUGCUUUCCUCCAAUGCACUUUUCUCACUUAACUCUAUUCUGUAGCUCAUUCCAUAGCAGGAUGCAGAGCUCUUCAUUUCUUACCACAUCUGCACAGUACUCCAUUGUGUGAACCUAGCAUUAUUUAUUCAAUCAAUCCUCUACUGAUGGACAAUUAAAUUGUUUUCAGUCUUUGCUACUGCAAAUAGUAUGACAGUGAAAAUCACUGUAAACUGUUAGGUCCAUAAACAUGCAGUUUUGCUAGAAACUGUCCAAUUUCCAUCCGCAAGGGUCAUACUAUCUUCUAUUCAGAACAGCAACAUAUAAGAAUACCUACCACAUCCCAGCCUUGGAAACAUAGUAUGUUGUUCAGGUCACUUUUUAAAGCAGUUUUAUUUUCAUAUAAUUUCUAUAUACCACUGUAAUUUUUAUAUACCAUAAAGUUCACCCAUUUUAUGUGUACAUUUUUCUUUGUAAAUUUACCCACUUGUGCAGUUGUGCAUUACAACAAUCCAGUUUUAGAACACUUCCAUUAAAUCCUCAGUAAAUUCUGCUGUGAGCACUUUUAACCAAAUACUUGAUGUAGACUUAUGUGGGGGGGUUAACACAGAUGGCAUAAAAUCUGGUCUCAAAAAACAUGUAAUAACAAACAUGGUUAAGUGUUCUUAAAGAUUUUUUUCCUCUAUUUUUUCUUUUUUUAAGAUAUUAACAUGAUAGGUUUCUCUCUCUUUUUUACUCUGUCUCUCUUACUGUUCAUUUAGAUCUCAAGAUGAUAAGUAAAUUUCUCCUCUCUUUGUCUCUCUCUCUCUGGAGCACUGUGAUGACUGGUUUUAUGUGUAAAUUUGGCUAGGCUAUCGUACCCAGUUUCCAAUUAAACAUGAAUCUAAAUGUUGCUGUGAAAGUAUUCUGUAGUUGGGUAAGCAUCUAUAGUCAGAUAAGUCUAAUUAAAGGAGGUAUCUUUGAUAAUCUGGGUAGGUGUCAUCCAAUCAGUUGAAAGGCCUUAAUAAUAAAACUGAGGUUUCCCUGAGGAAGAAAAAAAGUUGCCUUUGGACUGUAGCUUCAGCUUCUGCCAGAGAAUUCUCAGCCUGCUGGCCUGCCCUACAGGUUUCUGAUUUGCCAGCCCCUGCAAUCAGGUAAGCUAAUUCCUAUAAUCUAUCUGUCUGUCUGUCUAUCUAUCUAUCUAUCUAUCUAUCUAUCUAUCAUCUUUCUAUCUUUUACAUAUACAUACAUAUGUACAUGUAAGUAUACACACACUUUCAAUUAUCUUAAAAAUAUGCUACUCCUUAAAAGUCUUUUUACACCUUCAAGAUUCCUGAAAUUUCUAAAUAUUAUUGAACAGCUCAAAGAGAAUAUUUAUAAGGAUGAAUAUGAUAUAUAUUCUACCAGAGAAAUAGGACAUUAUAUCUCCUAUUGUUCCAUUUGUCUGGUAGAACUCUGAUAUGUGCACCCCAUCACUACCAAACUCCAGUUCAACCAUAUGGAUAGUGUAACCUUUCUGGGAUUCUGCCUUUGUGUUGAUGUUCUCUCAGCCUUUACAGGUCUCAUGUUUUUGACUAUUCUCUCCAGCAAUGUAUAUGCCCAAGAAUGUGGUCUGACGGUUCUCCUUUCUCACCUCUCCUCAUAACCAACCUUACACUAUUGUGCAAAAAGAGAGCACUUCACUCUCAUUCUGAACCUUACUCAUGCUGUGCUUUGUGAUACAAAAACCUUCUGGAUGACAAAGAAUAAUUUUAGAAUUAAUAGCUCCAGAGAGGGAGUUCCAUGAGAGCAAAACAAAGGGAGUCACUGUGCAAAAUGUGAAAGCAGCCAGUGCCACAGUGGGUCUCACGAAGACAGAGCAUAGACAGGUGGUUACCAGAGGCCAGAGAGAGUGGUGGAGAGAGGGCAAUGAAGAUAAGUUGAUUAACAGGUACAAACAUAUGGUUUGGUAGAAGAAGUAAGAUCUAGUGUUAGAUAGAUCAGUAGGGUGACUAUAGUUUACAGUGAUCUAUUGUAUAUUUCAAAAUAGCUAGAAGAGAAUCAUUCAAAUGGUUCUAGCAUAAAGACAAAUAUUUAAGGUGACAGAUAAGUACACUGAUUUUAUCUUUA